CUACGGGGGGCUGCAGUGGGGAAUAUUGCACAAUGGGGGGAACCCUGAUGCAGCAACGCCGCGUGGAGGAUGACGCAUUUCGGUGUGUAAACUCCUUUUAUAUGUCAAGAAAAUGACGGUAGCAUAUGAAUAAGCACCGGCUAACUCCGUGCCAGCAGCCGCGGUAAUACGGAGGGUGCAAGCGUUACUCGGAAUCACUGGGCGUAAAGGACGCGUAGGCGGGAUAUCGAGUCAGGUGUGAAAUCCUACAGCUUAACUGUAGAACUGCACUUGAAACUGGUAACCUAGAGUAUGGGAGGGGGAGAUGGAAUUAGUGGUGUAGGGGUAAAAUCCGUAGAUAUCACUAGGAAUACCUAAAGCGAAGGCGAUCUCCUGGAACAUAACUGACGCUAAGGCGUGAAAGCGUGGGGAGCAAACAGGAUUAGAUACCCCUGUAGUC
rnacentral:rRNA from 1 species